rnacentral:ncRNA from 2 species
AUACUAGGACUACUUCACGGUGCCCAAUCGCGAGAUUGGGCUUAAAUGGGAAUCAGGCGAGAAUCCGGAACUGCCCCGCAGCGGUACGCAGGAACGAACACUCCGAUAGAAGCACUGGUUCGCCAUGAACUGGGAAGCAGGAGCAAGUAGGUAGCCUGCAAGUCCGAAGAACUGCCGAGAAACUUGCUCCAUA